rnacentral:rRNA from 1 species
GGGAUCGCCCUUCCUACGGGAGGCAGCAGUGGGGAAUAUUGGACAAUGGGCGAAAGCCUGAUCCAGCAAUGCCGCGUGAGUGAUGAAGGCCUUAGGGUUGUAAAGCUCUUUUACCCGGGAAGAUAAUGACUGUACCGGGAGAAUAAGCCCCGGCUAACUCCGUGCCAGCAGCCGCGGUAAUAAGGGCGAUCC